rnacentral:rRNA from 1 species
CACGUAGGGGGCAAGCGUUGUCCGGAAUCAUUGGGCGUAAAGAGCUCGUAGGCGGCUCAGUAAGUCGGGUGUGAAACCCUCAGGCUCAACCUGGGGACGCCACCCGAUACUGCCGGACUAGAGUUCGGAAGAGGCGAGUGGAAUUCCCGGUGUAGCGGUGAAAUGCGCAGAUAUCGGGAGGAACACCUAUGGCGAAGGCAGCUCGCUGGGACGUUACUGACGCUGAGACGCGAAAGCGUGGGGAGCAAACAGG